ensembl:snRNA U6 U6 spliceosomal RNA
GUGCUCACUUACUUCAAUAGCAUAUAUACUAAAAUUGGAAAGACACAGGGAAGAUUAGCAUGGCCCCUGCACAAAUUCGUGAAGUGCUCAAUUUUUUA